rnacentral:pre_miRNA from 1 species
CUACUACUCCCUCCGUUCGGAAUUACUUGUCUCGGAAAUGGAUGUAUCUAGAACUAAAAUACAUCUAGAUACAUCCAUUUCUGCGACAAGUAAUUCCGAACUGAGGGAGUACAAA